CCUCAUCAGCUCAUCGACGACUAAAUCGCCCACUUCAAGGUACUUUGGCCAGAUAAACCUCAAAAGAGGUACCAGGUGUGCACCAUGCCAUACCGCAAAGAGCGGCAUUUAUCCGAAAGUUCUCAGGCUCAUCAAGGAAGGGAAAUGAACCCGUCCCAGCUGCACCAAACAGGUGCACGCACCAUUACAGAUUGCAAGCCGUUCUCUUUAAG